rnacentral:lncRNA from 1 species
UUUGAUUCAGUCCGCCGCUCUCCAUCUUUUCCCGUCCCAGGGGCAGCACUGCAGUAUUCCUCGACGAGCAGGUUCUGCUUCGAGCGUAGAGCUUCCGGUGGGGGUUCAGGGGUGGAUUAGCAUGUGCCUUCAUGAGUCGGGAUGUCAGACGGUAGGAAUGGAGCAGGAGGAGAGGAGAACCUGCUGAUCCAGUGGAGAGAUAGCAAUCUCAUCGGGAACAGCGUGCUGAGCAGGUAUACCUAGCAUGGACCUCGAUUCCUACAAGGGGCUUCAAGUUUCGAGCAAUAGGCAAUUCUGAUUGGAUCGGUCUUCUGCUUUCCUUUUGGUGCAGGCUUUGAUCAGAACCAGCAAUGCCACAGAGGAGAAGACCCAAGUGAGUACGUUUGGUCAGUUUCUUGUUUGUCUUUAUUUUCCUCACCAACUGCGCAACUGUAAAUCUUAAUGCUCUUAAUUAUUUGAUCCCACUCUUAAGUGUUUUUCAUCGGAAACUUUUGAUUAG